GAGUAACGCGUGGGCAACCUGCCUUACACAGGGGGAUAACAGUUAGAAAUGACUGCUAAUACCGCAUAAGACCACAGGACUGCAUGGUCAGGUGGUAAAAACUCCGGUGGUGUAAGAUGGGCCCGCGUCUGAUUAGGUAGUUGGCGGGGUAACGGCCCACCAAGCCGACGAUCAGUAGCCGGCCUGAGAGGGUGAACGGCCACAUUGGGACUGAGACACGGCCCAAACUCCUACGGGAGGCAGCAGUGGGGAAUAUUGCACAAUGGGGGAAACCCUGAUGCAGCGACGCCGCGUGAGUGAAGAAGUAUUUCGGUAUGUAAAGCUCUAUCAGCAGGGAAGAAAAUGACGGUACCUGACUAAGAAGCCCCGGCUAACUACGUGCCAGCAGCCGCGGUAAUACGUAGGGGGCAAGCGUUAUCCGGAUUUACUGGGUGUAAAGGGAGCGUAGACGGUGAUGCAAGUCAGAAGUGAAAGCCCGGGGCUCAACUCCGGGACUGCUUUUGAAACUGUGUAACUGGAGUGCAGGAGAGGUAAGCGGAAUUCCCAGUGUAGCGGUGAAAUGCGUAGAUAUUAGGAGGAACACCAGUGGCGAAGGCGGCUUACUGGACUGUAACUGACGUUUGAGGCUCGAAAGCGUGGGGAGCAAACAGGAUUAGAUACCCUGGUAGUCCACGCCGUAAACGAUGAUCACUAGGUGU
rnacentral:rRNA from 1 species